rnacentral:rRNA from 1 species
UGGGGAAUUUUGGACGAAUUGGGCGAAAGCCUGAUCCAGCAAUGCCGCGUGUGUGAAGAAGGCCUUCGGGUUGUAAAGCACUUUUGUCCGGAAAGAAAUCCUUGGCUCUAAUACAGUCGGGGGAUGACGGUACCGGAAGAAUAAGCACCGGCUAACUACGUGCCAGCAGCCGCGGUAAUACGUAGGGUGCAAGCGUUAAUCGGAAUUACUGGGCGUAAAGCGUGCGCAGGCGGUUUGCUAAGACCGAUGUGAAAUCCCCGGGCNCAACCUGGGAAUGCUUGGUGACUGGCAGGCUAGAGUAUGGCAGAGGGGGGUAGAAUUCCACGUGUAGCAGUGAAAUGCGUAGAGAUGUGGAGGAAUACCGAUGGCGAAGGCAGCCCCCUGGCCAAUACUGACGCUCAUGCACGAAAGCGUGGGGGAGC